rnacentral:tRNA from 7 species
UAAAAUGGCUGAGUAAGCAUUGGGCUGUAAAUCCGAAGACAGAGGUCCAACCCUCUUUUUGCCA